rnacentral:rRNA from 1 species
CUCGUAGGCGGUUUGUCGCGUCGGGAGUGAAAACCUCGGGCUUAACUCGGGGCUUGCUUUCGAUACGGGCAGACUAGAGGUAUGCAGGGGAGAACGGAAUUCCUGGUGUAGCGGUGAAAUGCGCAGAUAUCAGGAGGAACACCGGUGGCGAAGGCGGUUCUCUGGGCAUGAUCUGACGCUGAGGAGCGAAAGUGUGGGGAGCGAACA